rnacentral:rRNA from 1 species
ACUCCUACGGGAGGCAGCAGUAGGGAAUCUUCGGCAAUGGACGAAAGUCUGACCGAGCAACGCCGCGUGAGUGAAGAAGGUUUUCGGAUCGUAAAACUCUGUUGUUAGAGAAGAACAAGGACGUUAGUAACUGAACGUCCCCUGACGGUAUCUAACCAGAAAGCCACGGCUAACUACGUGCCAGCAGCCGCGGUAAUACGUAGGUGGCAAGCGUUGUCCGGAUUUAUUGGGCGUAAAGCGAGCGCAGGCGGUUUCUUAAGUCUGAUGUGAAAGCCCCCGGCUCAACCGGGGAGGGUCAUUGGAAACUGGGAGACUUGAGUGCAGAAGAGGAGAGUGGAAUUCCAUGUGUAGCGGUGAAAUGCGUAGAUAUAUGGAGGAACACCAGUGGCGAAGGCGGCUCUCUGGUCUGUAACUGACGCUGAGGCUCGAAAGCGUGGGGAGCAAACAGGAUUAGAUACCCUGGUAGUCCACGCCGUAAACGAUGAGUGCUAAGUGUUGGAGGGUUUCCGCCCUUCAGUGCUGCAGCAAACGCAUUAAGCACUCCGCCUGGGGAGUACGACCGCAAGGUUGAAACUCAAAGGAAUUGACGGGGGCCCGCACAAGCGGUGGAGCAUGUGGUUUAAUUCGAAGCAACGCGAAGAACCUUACCAGGUCUUGACAUCCUUUGACCACUCUAGAGAUAGAGCUUUCCCUUCGGGGACAAAGUGACAGGUGGUGCAUGGUUGUCGUCAGCUCGUGUCGUGAGAUGUUGGGUUAAGUCCCGCAACGAGCGCAACCCUUAUUGUUAGUUGCCAUCAUUUAGUUGGGCACUCUAGCGAGACUGCCGGUGACAAACCGGAGGAAGGUGGGGAUGACGUCAAAUCAUCAUGCCCCUUAUGACCUGGGCUACACACGUGCUACAAUGGGAAGUACAACGAGUCGCUAGGCCGCGAGGUCAUGCAAAUCUCUUAAAGCUUCUCUCAGUUCGGAUUGCAGGCUGCAACUCGCCUGCAUGAAGCCGGAAUCGCUAGUAAUCGCGGAUCAGCACGCCGCGGUGAAUACGUUCCCGGGCCUUGUACACACCGCCCGUCACACCACGAGAGUUUGUAACACCCGAAGUCGGUGAGGUAACCUUUUUGGAGCCAGCCGCCUAAGGUGGGAUAGAUGAUUGGGGUGAAGUCGUAACAAGGUAGCCGUAUCGGAAGGUGCGGCUGGAUCACCU